rnacentral:misc_RNA from 1 species
GAUUUGAUACAAGAAAUGGGUCAAAAUAUUGCUCGACAAGAAGGUAGCAGAUGACUGAAUGCUAGACAUUGGGCAUUUGUUGACGACAAAUAAGGGAAAGAGCAGAGUCAAAGGCAUAUCUUUUAAUAUUUCUAAAAUGGGAAAGAUGCACUUAGAUCAGGCAGCCUUCUCAGGAAUGGACAAUUUAAAAUACCUCAAAGUUUACAGGUCUUGGGGUAAUUAUGAGGACGCAUACUUCAUACUCGACUCAAAUUAUCUGCGGUAUCUUCCAAACGAGUUGAGGUUACUUUAUUGGGAAGAAUAUCCUUGCGAGCUUUUGCCAUCAACCUAUGUCGCGGAGAACCUUGUUGAGCUUAAUUUGCCGAGUAGUAAAAUUAAACGGCUUUGGAGUGGAGAUCAGUUCCCUAAAAAGUUGAAAUAUCUCGAUCUUUUUAGAUGUGAACAAUUGAUUGAACUCCCAAAUCUAUCAUCGGCUACAAAUUUGAAGAGCAUAAAUCUCGUAAGCUGUAAGAGUUUGAUUGAGAUUCCCCUGUCGAUUCAGCAUGCCCGCAGUCUCACUUCUCUCGAUCUUGAUGGCUGUAAAAAUCUGAAGAGUGUUCCAAGCCUCACUCAACUAGAAUGUCUUGAGUAUCUUAGUCUCUGUUGGUGCUCAAAUUUAAAAAAGGUUCCAGAGAUUCCACGGGGCAUGAAAGAGGUAUACUUAAAUGAGUCUGGAAUAGAAGAAUUGCCUUCAUCAAUGGAAUGUCUCUAUUCUCUUGUUCAGUUGGGUGUGGGGGAAUGUGACCGGCUAAAGAGCCUCCCAGGCAGCAUUCGUGAGUUGAAAUGCCUUCGAUGGCUUGACCUUAGUGGCUGCUUUGAACUUGUGGAAAUUCCCGAUGACCUUGUCUUUUUAUCAUCAUUAGAAAAAUUGAAUCUAGACAACUGCAAUAGACUUCAAGGUUUGCCUGAGCUUCCAUGUCGACUAGAGACGCUCCGAGCAGGAAAUUGUACAUUGAUGAAAACAACAGCAUCAACUUCAUAUAUUAAUAUACCCAAAGAUUCAAGGAGAAAAAACUAUGAAUUCAACUAUAGUAAUUGCGUAAACUUGGACCAGAAUGCAAGUUGCAACAUUAUAGGAGACGCACGACUAAGGAUUGAACAAAUUGCCACUACUUUCAAGGAGAGGGCGGAACAUUUUUGUAAUGGAGUUGAAUUUUUUGUUGGUUUACCAGGAAAAGAAAUUCCAAAGUGGUUCAGCUAUGAAAGCCCAGGAUCUUCAAUAGACACCACGUUCCCUUUUGGUUGCUUUAAUGCCAUGUUCCUGGGAUUUGCCUUUUCUGCUGUUCUGAGUUUCGAGGUUCCUGUUAUCGUUACAAAGAUAUUAUUGAAUUGUAAAUGCAAUUUCAAAAAUGUUAAAGGUGGCGACAGGGAUUUCUCCAUUAUUGAAUAUUUGCCUCCCGUGACCGUCCUUGAAUCAGAUCACCUGUUCCUUUGGUACAAUCACUACCCCUGUUCAGAUGAUCUAUAUAAUGAGCUUGUACAAAACUGUUACAAUGUCAACGAGGCCUCAUUUACGUUCACAGCAGAGUUGUUGAACUACAAUUUUGAUCGGCUCGAGUGCGAGAAAUACAAAUUAAAGAUGAAAAGUUGUGGAGUCAAGCUGAUAUAUGCCAAAGGAACUGAACAAAUGCAAUCCUAGCAGAUUCCAAACAAAUCUCUGCUUGCAGUGUGGAGCAACCAAUCCAAACUUUGAAGAGUCAGAGUUUGAAACCAACUCUUUUGCUGAUGGCAAAUCUGAUUACGAGGAAAAGGAACCACUUUCUUAAUGUUUACUCUUCAAAUGCUGAAGAUGGUUGUGACUGCGACGAAACUAUGCUUCCUUUCUGCCACUACUUGUGGACAACCUGAGUUUGAAUGCUUAAUGGAUUCCAGCUCUCUUGUCGUUGAUUCAUUUUUAUCCAUUUCGAAGGCAACACCAAACUGUCAGUCAACUCCCAGAUUUUUU